UACGUAGGGGGCAAGCGUUUGUCCGGAAUCAUUGGGCGUAAAGAGCGUGUAGGCGGCUCGGUAAGUCCGCUCUGAAAGCCCGGGGCUCAACCCCGGGAGGCGGGCGGAUACUGUCGGGCUAGAGUCCGGAAGAGGCGAGUGGAAUUCCCGGUGUAGCGGUGAAAUGCGCAGAUAUCGGGAGGAACACCAAUGGCGAAGGCGACUUCCUGGCCUGUUCUUGACGCUGAGGCGCGAAAGCCAGGGGAGCAAACGGG
rnacentral:rRNA from 1 species